GGGCCCCUUUCUUUCUUCUCUCUCGGGAAAGCUGGGAAGCAUGAGCGUGCAGACCUGCCGCUGCGGCGGCCGUCCCGGCUUCUUGCCUCCCCCUCUUCGGGCCGCCCCUCGCCGGUGAGAGAAGCGAACGCGAGAAGGGAAGAUGGGGGCCGUCCUGAGGAGCCUCCUGGCCUGCAGUUUCUGCGUGCUCCUGAGAGCGGCCCCUUUGUUGCUUUAUGCUAACAGACGGGACUUGCGAUUGGUUGAUGCUGCAAAUGGCAAAGAGAAUGCUACGAUUGUAGUUGGAGGCUUGGAGGAUGCAGCUGCGGUGGACUUUGUGUUUGGUCAUGGCUUGAUAUACUGGAGUGAUGUCAGCGAAGAAGCCAUUAAACGAACAGAGUUCAACAAAACUGAGAGUGUACAGAAUGUUGUUGUUUCUGGAUUAUUGUCCCCUGAUGGGCUGGCAUGUGAUUGGCUUGGAGAAAAAUUGUACUGGACAGAUUCUGAAACUAAUCGUAUUGAAGUUUCUAAUUUAGAUGGAUCUUUACGAAAAGUUUUAUUUUGGCAAGAGUUGGAUCAACCUAGAGCUAUUGCCUUAGAUCCUUCAAGUGGGUUCAUGUACUGGACAGAUUGGGGAGAAGUACCAAAGAUAGAACGUGCUGGAAUGGAUGGUUCAAGUCGCUUCAUUAUAAUAAACACUGAAAUUUACUGGCCAAAUGGACUGACUUUGGAUUAUGAGGAACGGAAGCUUUAUUGGGCAGACGCAAAACUUAAUUUCAUCCACAGAUCAAAUCUGGAUGGAACAAAUCGGCAGGCAGUGGUUAAAGGUUCCCUUCCACAUCCUUUUGCCUUGACGUUAUUUGAGGACACAUUGUACUGGACUGACUGGAAUACACACUCCAUUUUGGCUUGCAACAAGUACACUGGCGAGGGUCUGCGUGAAAUCCAUUCUAACAUCUUUUCUCCCAUGGAUAUACAUGCCUUCAGCCAGCAGAGGCAGCCAAAUGCUACAAAUCCAUGUGGAAUUGAUAAUGGUGGUUGUUCCCACUUGUGUUUGAUGUCUCCAGUCAAGCCUUUUUAUCAGUGUGCUUGCCCAACUGGGGUUAAACUCCUGGAGAAUGAAAAAACCUGCAAAGAUGGUGCCACUGAAUUACUGCUUUUAGCCCGAAGGACAGAUUUGAGACGAAUUUCUUUGGAUACACCAGAUUUCACAGACAUUGUUCUACAGUUGGAAGACAUCCGCCAUGCCAUUGCCAUAGAUUAUGAUCCUGUGGAAGGCUAUAUCUACUGGACUGAUGAUGAAGUGAGGGCCAUACGCCGCUCAUUCAUUGAUGGAUCUGGCAGCCAGUUUGUGGUCACUGCUCAAAUCGCCCAUCCGGAUGGCAUUGCUGUUGAUUGGGUUGCCCGAAAUCUUUAUUGGACAGACACUGGCACUGAUCGGAUAGAAGUGACAAGGCUCAACGGGACCAUGAGGAAGAUCUUGAUUUCAGAGGACUUAGAGGAACCCCGGGCUAUUGUGUUAGAUCCCAUGGUUGGGUACAUGUAUUGGACUGACUGGGGAGAAAUCCCGAAAAUUGAGCGAGCAGCUCUGGAUGGUUCUGAUCGAGUAGUGUUGGUUAACACUUCUCUUGGUUGGCCAAAUGGUUUAGCCUUGGAUUAUGAUGAAGGCAAAAUAUACUGGGGAGAUGCCAAAACAGACAAAAUUGAGGUCAUGAAUACCGAUGGGACUGGGAGACGAGUGCUGGUGGAAGACAAAAUUCCCCACAUAUUUGGGUUUACUUUGUUGGGUGACUAUGUUUACUGGACUGACUGGCAGAGGCGUAGCAUCGAACGAGUACACAAACGAAGUGCAGAGCGGGAAGUCAUCAUAGACCAGCUCCCCGACCUCAUGGGCCUGAAGGCCGCAAAUGUCCAUCGAAUCAUUGGUUCCAACCCCUGCGCUGAGGAGAAUGGGGGAUGUAGCCAUCUCUGCCUCUACAGACCUCAGGGCCUUCGCUGUGCCUGCCCCAUUGGCUUUGAACUCAUCAGUGACAUGAAGACCUGCAUUGUCCCAGAGGCUUUCCUUCUGUUUUCACGGAGAGCAGAUAUCAGGAGAAUUUCUUUGGAAACUAACAAUAAUAACGUGGCCAUCCCGCUCACUGGUGUCAAAGAAGCUUCUGCUUUGGAUUUUGAUGUGACAGACAACCGAAUUUACUGGACUGACAUAUCACUCAAGACUAUCAGCAGAGCCUUUAUGAAUGGCAGCGCACUGGAACAUGUGGUAGAAUUUGGCUUAGAUUAUCCAGAAGGCAUGGCAGUAGACUGGCUCGGGAAGAACUUGUACUGGGCAGACACAGGAACAAAUCGAAUUGAGGUAUCAAAGUUGGAUGGGCAGCACCGACAAGUUUUGGUGUGGAAAGACCUAGAUAGUCCCAGAGCUCUUGCAUUGGACCCCGCUGAAGGAUUUAUGUAUUGGACUGAAUGGGGUGGAAAGCCUAAGAUAGACAGAGCUGCCAUGGAUGGAAGUGAACGUACUACAUUAGUUCCAAAUGUGGGGCGAGCAAAUGGCCUAACUAUUGAUUAUGCUAAAAGGAGGCUUUAUUGGACAGACCUGGACACCAACUUAAUAGAAUCUUCAAAUAUGCUUGGACUCAACCGUGAGGUUAUAGCAGAUGACUUGCCUCAUCCUUUUGGCUUAACUCAGUACCAAGAUUACAUCUACUGGACGGACUGGAGCCGACGCAGCAUCGAGCGUGCCAACAAAACCAGUGGCCAAAACCGCACCAUCAUUCAGGGCCAUUUGGAUUAUGUGAUGGACAUCCUCGUGUUUCACUCCUCUCGGCAGGCAGGGUGGAAUGAGUGUGCCUCCAGCAAUGGGCACUGCUCCCACCUCUGCUUGGCGGUGCCAGUUGGAGGUUUUGUUUGUGGAUGCCCUGCCCACUACUCUCUUAAUGCUGACAACAGGACUUGUAGUGCUCCAACUACUUUCCUGCUCUUCAGUCAAAAGAGCGCCAUCAACCGCAUGGUGAUUGACGAACAGCAGAGCCCUGACAUCACCCUCCCGAUCCACAGCCUUCGGAACGUCCGGGCCAUUGACUACGACCCACUGGGCAAGCAGCUCUAUUGGAUCGACUCACGACAAAACACGAUCCGAAAAGCGCAAGCAGACGGCAGCCAGGGCUUCACUGUGGUUGUGAGCUCAGUUCCGAAUCAGAACCUAGAAAUACAGCCCUAUGACCUCAGCAUUGAUAUUUAUAGCCGCUACAUCUAUUGGACUUGCGAGGCCACCAAUGUCAUUAACGUAACCAGAUUAGAUGGGAGAUCGAUUGGAGUGGUGUUAAAAGGCGAGCAAGACAGACCUCGAGCCAUUGUGGUAAACCCAGAAAAAGGGUAUAUGUAUUUUACCAAUCUUCAGGAAAGGUCUCCCAAAAUUGAACGAGCUGCUUUAGAUGGAACAGAACGGGAGGUCCUCUUUUUCAGUGGCUUAAGUAAACCAAUUGCUUUAGCUCUUGAUAGCAGAUUAGGCAAACUCUUUUGGGCUGAUUCAGAUCUCCGGCGAAUUGAAAGCAGUGAUCUCUCAGGUGCCAACCGGAUAGUAUUAGAAGACUCCAACAUUCUGCAGCCUGUGGGACUAACUGUGUUUGAAAACUGGCUAUAUUGGAUUGAUAAGCAGCAGCAGAUGAUUGAAAAAAUUGACAUGACAGGUCGAGAGGGUAGAACCAAAGUCCAGGCUCGAAUUGCCCAGCUUAGUGACAUUCAUGCAGUAAAGGAGCUGAAUCUUCAGGAAUAUAGGCAGCACCCUUGUACUCAGGAUAAUGGUGGCUGUUCACAUAUUUGUCUUGUAAAGGGAGAUGGUACUACAAGGUGCUCCUGCCCCAUGCACUUGGUUCUGCUUCAAGAUGAGCUACUAUGUGGAGAACCCCCAACAUGUUCUCCUCAGCAGUUUACUUGUUUCACGGGAGAAAUUGACUGUAUCCCUGUGGCUUGGCGGUGCGAUGGGUUUACUGAAUGUGAAGAUCACAGUGAUGAGCUCAAUUGUCCUGUGUGCUCUGAGUCCCAGUUCCAGUGUGCCAGUGGGCAGUGUAUUGACGGUGCCCUGAGGUGCAAUGGAGAUGCCAACUGCCAGGAUAAGUCAGAUGAGAAGAACUGUGAAGUGCUUUGCUUAAUUGAUCAAUUCCGCUGCGCCAAUGGUCAGUGCAUUGGAAAACACAAGAAGUGUGAUCAUAAUUUAGAUUGCAGCGACAAAUCAGAUGAACUGGAUUGUUAUCCAACUGAGGAGCCAGCACCACAGGCCACCAAUACAGUUGGCUCGGUUAUUGGAGUAAUUGUUACCAUUUUUGUGUCUGGAACCAUAUACUUUAUUUGCCAGAGGAUGUUGUGUCCACGUAUGAAGGGCGAUGGGGAAACCAUGACUAAUGACUAUGUAGUUCAUGGACCAGCUUCUGUGCCCCUUGGUUAUGUGCCACACCCAAGCUCUUUGUCAGGAUCUCUUCCAGGAAUGUCUCGAGGUAAAUCAAUGAUAAGCUCCCUCAGUAUCAUGGGGGGAAGCAGCGGACCCCCUUAUGACCGAGCUCAUGUCACAGGAGCAUCGUCAAGUAGUUCUUCAAGCACCAAAGGCACUUACUUCCCUGCAAUUUUGAACCCUCCGCCAUCCCCGGCCACAGAGCGAUCACAUUACACUAUGGAAUUUGGUUAUUCUUCAAACAGUCCUUCUACUCAUAGGUCCUACAGCUACAGGCCGCACAGUUACCGGCACUUUGCACCGCCCACCACACCCUGCAGUACAGAUGUUUGUGACAGUGACUACGCUCCCAGCCGGAGAAUAAUGACCUCAGUGGCCACAGCCAAGGGCUACACUAGUGACUUGAACUAUGACUCAGAGCCUGUGCCUCCGCCUCCCACGCCCCGAAGCCAGUACUUGUCGGCAGAAGAGAACUAUGAAAGCUGCCCACCUUCUCCAUACACAGAGAGGAGCUACUCUCAUCACCUCUACCCACCGCCGCCCUCUCCCUGUACAGACUCCUCCUGAGGAGGGGCCCUCCUCCUCUGACUGCCUCCCACACGAAAGUGUAAACACGAAUUCGGUUGAGAUCUGGAGGGGGGGAGGGAGCUCUUCGAGAAGGGUGAGGCAGACCAUGUACAGAUAAAAAUUAUAAAUGGGGUAGGGCAUACUGGAGAUAUUUGUACAGAAGGAAAGAUAUUUAUAUAUUUUCUUAAAACAGCACAUUUGCUGCUUGUGCCAUAAAAAUUUGUAUAAAAAAUAAAUUUGUACUAAAAGUUUUAUUUUUGCAAACUAAAUACACAAAGCAUGCCUUAAACCCAGUGAAGUGACUGAGUACAAAGGAAACAGGAAUAAUAAAGGCAUCACUGACCAGGAAUGUCUGGGCUUUAUUGAUACCAAAAAAAAAAAAGAAGAAGAAGAAGAAGAAAAAAAUUAUAAAGUCCAUCUCAGAGCAGCAAACUAUAGAUACUUGGAAGUAGCCAAAUGACCUUCAUGUUAACUAACAUUUGAAGGCCAGCAGAUUUAAGAAAUGAAAGGAAAAAAAAAAAGAAAUAAUACUAACUUUGGAUAAAGGGCUUUGUUUUCUCUAGGAAUCCAACAAUUUUAUCGAGGAAAAUAGAUAUUUAUAAAAAUCCAUUUGGGGUGCUGCUGUUGUGGGAGAGAUCAGCUGUCUGGCCUCUCUGGAUUUCAGGACCGAAGAGAAAACAGUGGAAGAAGGGAUUCAGAAUUUUGGUAGAGGUGAACUAACUGUUUAAACAAUUUAAAAAUAUACCUAAGUAAUCUUUUUAAAGAGAAAAAAACACGGUUUCAGAGUAAUGCUUAGAUUAUUGGGAGUACCUUAUAUGAAUCAGGUGCACUUGAUAUUGCAUAUAAAUAAAUGGUAAUCCAUUAGUAUCUUGCAUUUCAGUCAGACGAAUGUUAACUCUUCCUGUUGAUGGAACAGAGGGCUCAAGUUCUAACAAAAUGGACAUUGAAGUUGCGUUCUGUGACACACAAGGGCGCUUGAUGCUCAAAUGAAGAUGGAAAGGUUAGCAAUAACUGGGUAUCACUUAGAAUUUGAGAAUUCUGUAUGUUUACAUUUUUUAAUGUGCAUCUUUAUCUAGUGGGCUUCCCAUGUGGAAACUUGCACUAUAAUGAACUAAGAAGAAUAUUGCCUUGUUAUAUCUCAGUUCAAGUGCUUGUACUGUGAUGGCAAUGGCCUCUUCUUGCAAAAUACUAAUUUGUGUGCCAAUUUGUUUGAAAUUAUUUGAAGGCAGUUCAGCUUAAUCUCAGAAUCCUCUUUCUUGGUAUUUGAGAUGGAUUCUUAACAUUUUGGGGAGUACCUUUCAAUGAGAGAAUUGUCAAAAUUCAGGAAAGAUUUAUUGACCCUCAUAACAUAUGGACAGUUAAGCUUAAAAGUAGACUAUCUUGAUUAUUAAACACAAGAUCUUUAAUUGGAAGAUAAAUUAAUAUAUGAGAGCACAGAUCAGGGGAAAAAGGGAAAAUGUGUUUUGAAUUUGGAGUAUUGCUAGAUUCAUUAUCCAUGCUGGGGGGCAAUGAAUAAAAUUUCAUUAUAUUCCUUAAAUGCGAAAGUAUUCAUUGUGAUUGUAUGGCGUGAAGUAUGCCCAGUUACUGACGUCAUUAAAAUUAUCUGAGAAUUGAAAUUCAGCAUAGCAUGCUUUCUGUGCCCUGUAGUAAGCUAUUCUUCACUGAAGUGGUCUUUUAUAAUUCUGAACUUUUAUAAUCUUGAACUUGGCUCCUGCAGAGCCCUGGUUUUCUGAACAGUGGCCCAAAGGAUUUUGUUGCUUAUAUCAGAUAAUGGCAUAUUCACAAUGUAAAAAACAGUUAAGGCAUAGAAUUUUCUCAAUAUUAAUUUUUCUUUCAGGAAAUUUUGUUAUGCCUCUGACACUUGCUAUAACUCUUCUAACUAGCACAUCAUGAGAUACGUUUAGCAGAAAAUUAUCAUUAUUUUAAUUUUAAUAUAAAAAUACUUUGUGAUGUACUACCAAGAGCUUAUCUGACCCUUCAAUAAGUUUGAGAACAGCUAUUCUAAAGGGUUGAUAUGUAUUUAGAAAUGAAGUCUUUACAGUACAUUUUCAUGUAAUAUAGGCCAGUAAUUGGGGGUGGGGGCUUUUGAGCAGUAAAAUUUUAAGAUGAUUGAGGAUUGUAUGUUUUCAUGAUUUAAAAAUACUCCAAAGUCAAUCAUUUGUAUACAACCAACUCAUUUGAUAUUAAGACAUUGUUAAGGUAUAAAAAUAGCCACCAUCCUUAUUAGGUAGAAAUUAGUUUGGAGGGAAAAUUUUUUUCUUUUGCUGUAAAAGCUCAUUAAUGAAGAAUACUUCACGUAGGGUUGGUAACUGUGACUUAAUCUGUUACUGAACUGUGUAUAUUUAUGUGACCUGAUAGCAGUAAUCAUAGUAUAGAGACUAUUUACUUUGGGUACAAAAGAAAGGCUUGCCUUAAGCAAGCAAACCUGGCUCUGCGAUAGGUCUGCUGCUAUUGUUUCUCUGUCAAGUCCUGUGCCUCGACUAGAUUCUUAAAAGUGUAGUUUUAAAAAUUGCUUUAUCUCUUGCAGGGGGAAACUUGCCACUUCAUUGAUUUGCAUGCCAUAAAAGCAGCAUGUUGGUUAUUACCAUUACACAUCUAACAAGAUUCAGAAACAAAAAUCUUGGCCUUUUCACGUCCCCCAAGUAUGUCAAACUUUUAAUAAGCGCAGUACUUCAUUCUGAAUAAUGACAUGAAUAGUAUGUCUGGAGUGUGGGUAUGAGUAUGUGAUUAUCCGGUGGCUGACAAAUGUUUGAGCAGGAAUAAAUGAGACUGUACACUAAGUGUAGACAUGGACUGAGUCUUAAAGAAGUUCAUAAUCGAGCAUUGUUUAAAACAUGUUCUCAGGAUUCUUAAACUCAAGAAAAUUUAAUUUUAUUUGGUACCCCUUUCCUUAUCCCAAACCUAAAAUGAACCAAGAGAAAUAACAGAUGAUUUUACAAAGUACUAGUAGCAUAUGGUUGGUUUCUGACUUCUGGGAUUGCAUCAUGUCACAAUAGGCUCAAAAUUUAGCUUUUGAAAUUCUCAGACUUCUAAAGGACUUUGGACCCUAAAGCAUAACAUUUUACUCUUAUAAUUUUGAAAGAUUUUAAAAAUUGUGAACCAUAUACUCGGGAUAUUUGUUUGAUUGGAUUCUGCCUUUUGUUAAACUAAGCCUAUACCUGAGCGGAGAGGGAGGUAGAUUAUUCAGUUAAUCUAGAUGAUUUAGAAUGAAAUUACUGACCUCAUGCUUCUUCAGUCAAGAUCAAUUUUACUGGUUUUUUUGUUUUGGGGGUUUUUUUUCAUAAGGCAUUCUUAAACCAUUCUUAAGUUAUUGCUGAAAAAAAUCGUCAUGACUUUACAGGUAGAAUUAUAAAGUAAGUGAUAUCUUGUACUCAGAAGUGGAAUAUAGCCCUAACAAUUAGAUUUCCCAUUACUUAGGGUGUGCCCAGUAGUUAACACCAAAGAAUUAUACAAUGUGCUUUUGCUUAACUGUCCAUUCUUUUUUUAAAAGAAAAGAAUUUUUUUAAUUAUUAAAAAAAUUUUAAAUCAAAUAUAAGGGCAGGGAUAUAGAUAAAUAUAUAGAUAGAGAGAUCUCUGUGUAUAUGUCUCUAAAUAUCAAUGCCUAAAUAUGAAUAUUAGAAAAUAAGGCAAAGUCUGAUUAAACCUAACAUUACAUGAAAUUAAGUAUCUGGGCUUAGUUGAGGACAUUUUAUUAUAAUAAGAGUAAAGAGGAUACUGAGAUGCUUAAGCUGGACUAGCCUUAUUUGCAAGUGAAGGAUCUGGUGCUGCUUUCAGAUGUUUUAUCCUCUGUGUUUUAAAAUUUUUUCUUAAGCUUUAAUCUUCGUCAUUGUCUUAAAGUCAGCUGGUGUUUCUUGUUCAUGGACUUUGGUACGAUGGUGCUUUGCAAGGAUGUAUUUAUAUUUUAAUGACCAACAUUUGGUCAGCCCUUGUCCACUAUUCACUUCCCCCUUUUUGUAAAAUAAGUGCUUUAAUUUUAAACUGUAUAAAAAUACCUUGUAUAAAUCCCCUUUUUGAUUAUUACAAUAAGUUGAGUUGUAACAAAUGAAAUGUUGAUUUUUAUAAUAAAACAGUGGAAAAUACAAGUGUCAU